rnacentral:rRNA from 1 species
GAAUUUUGGACAAUGGGGGCAACCCUGAUCCAGCCAUCCCGCGUGUGCGAUGAAGGCCUUCGGGUUGUAAAGCACUUUUGGCAGGGAAGAAAAGGCUCUGGCUAAUACCUGUCGCUGCUGACGGUACCUGCAGAAUAAGCACCGGCUAACUACGUUCCAGCAGCCGCGGUAAUACGUAGGGUGCAAGCGUUACUCGGAAUUACUGGGCGUAAAGCGUGCGCAGGCGGUUCGGCAAGAAGUAUGUGAAAUCCCAGGGCUUAACCUUGGAACUGCAUUCUUAACUGCCGGGCUAGAGUAUGUCAGAGGGGGGUAGAAUUCCGCGUGUAGCGGUGAGAUGCGUAGAGAUGCGGAGGAAUACCGAUGGCGAAGGCAGCCCCCUGGGAUAAUACUGACGCUCAUGCACGAAAGCGUGGGGAGCAAAC